rnacentral:lncRNA from 1 species
CUAGAGAGAGAAAGUGAAGUAGAAAAAGGAAGUGAAGGAUUUGGAGCUGUUUUGAAGAAGUUAGAGCAUUUUUAAGAGCCAUUGUUCUACCGAAAGUCCGAGAAGAAGAUCCAGAAGUCCGAGGAGGUUCUGUCCAAGUCCUGAUUCGUCCAUACCAGUCCAUUGAAGACAGAGGCAUUGGGUUUUGGCUAGGCUCUCUCCGAUCAACCAGCUGCAAGAACACUGUGAGUUGGUUUGUUUGAGUUCCACUUGGAACUUAGGAUAGAUCGAGUUGCAUAUAGAGUAGUAAUAUCA